rnacentral:tRNA from 1 species
CGUUACGCUGGCUUCACUGAGACCCUUUCCACUUGCCUUGGGAGCAAGGGGUCGCCGGUUCAAGUCCGGCCGUCCCGACCA